GAUGAAGAACGUAGUGAAAUGCGAUACUUGGUGUGAAUUGCAGAAUCCCGUGAACCAUCGAGUCUUUGAACGCAAGUUGCGCCCGAAGCCAUUAGGCCGAGGGCACGCCUGCCUGGGUGUCACACGUCGUUGCCCCCCCAUCUACUCCUUCGGGAUUGCGGGGGGCGGAUGAUGGCCUCCCGUGCGCCUCGUCGCGCGGUUGGCAUAAAUGCCAAGUCCUCGGCGACGCACGCCACGACAAUCGGUGGUUAUGAAACCUCGGUUGCCCGUCGUGUGCGGUCGUCGCGCAUCGAGGGCUCGAAAAAAUUGCCGGGCUCCGGCUCGGCUUUCAACGCGACCCCAGGUCAGGCGGGGUUACCCGCUGAAUUUAAGCAUAUCAAUAAGCGGAGGA
rnacentral:misc_RNA from 1 species